UGUGUUGGUUUCUUCGGAUACAAUUGCGAUAAACAAUGUGUGAAUGGAUAUUUCGGAAAAUCGUGUAAAGAGGUUUGCAACUGUACUAAAUCAGAAACCUGUAAUCAGUACGUCGGAUGCAUCGAAACCAAAAGUAAAAGUAAGUUUAGCAUGUGGUUUGACAAAUUAGAAAAAAAGACAUCCCUAUUAGUCCAUGCAAAGAUUUGAAUGUUUGUUCGCUUCAUCAUUGUUGAACAAACAAGAGAGGUACACACAUGUAAGUACCCUUCAUGCUAUAUACAAAAUGUAAUCACAAAAUCGAUCUUACAAAGGACUAAACAUCCUGAAGCCCUAACAUUAUAGCCAAGCUUCCCCUCGACUGAUAUAAAAUAUUAUAUCAAAUUUUGAUUACAUUAUUAUAUUGAUUAUGAUUUCUAUGAAUUUCUCCAUUAAUGACUAAACUACGACAGACAACAAAGGACCAUGCCCGCUUGUUAGACUAAUGGUUCCUGCAAUAACGACUUUGCUGAUUCUAAGUUUCAUCAUGUGUUUUAUGAUCUGCUUAUAUAGAACACGAAGAGAAGGAAAGUAUAAAGUGGACAAAGCCAUGAAAAUGAAGUCAAUCCCACAGAAAAAGUCACAAAACAUUCAGUUGAUUCGUUACACGAGCAAUGUACAUGAAUAUAGACAAUACAGUGACAUCGAUAUUACGAAAUACACAUAUAAUAGAGAAUUUGAAAAGCAUAUGACACAUGACUACAGUCGAAUCAUAUUCCCUAAAUUUACAUCAGUGGAUAUUCCAGCAGACCAGUACAGUACGACCAUAAUACGUAAUCCAUACGUAUUGGUGGAUGGAGAAAGUGAAAGCAGCCCAGACACUUCUGAUGGAGGAAAUAUUAAAAAAAGACAUCCCUCCAAUGACGAACGUAGUGGAAAAAACUCGAGACCUUAUAGUGUAGUUCACCCGAAUGGAUUUGAUUUUACCAUCUAGUUAUCUCUAUCAGGACCAGAAAGUUUAUGAUUAGACGAAGUCAGAGUUAUACAACUUCAUUAUUCAGUGUCGUUUCAAAUCGUUUCAAUCAUAUAUUUUUAAAGAAAUUCCAUUGGUCGAUUUUUUGUGCAUUUGUAUACAUUGAAUGAAUACUUAUGAUUUCUUUCCUUGCAUUGUGAGGACUUUUAAGCAACAUGUAUAUGAUUUAUACCAAUUUUACUAACUUUCAUUUAAAUCCACGUUGCUGGUAUUUUUGAAUGAUGAAUGUUUUAAUUCUAGAAAGAAUUAAUUAAAUGUCUAGUAUCUGUUCUAGUCACUAAGGACUUGGGAGUGUGCUCGAGGGACUCUCCUCAAAUGCCUAUUGCACAAAGUAGAUUGGUGUAAAGUAUCUAGUGUGUUUACUAUAUUAAAUGAAUUAUACACUUA